CACUAGGUGUGGGGGNCCUUUUCCGGGUCUUCCGCGCCGUAGCUAACGCAUUAAGUGCCCCGCCUGGGGAGUACGGCCGCAAGGCUAAAACUCAAAGGAAUUGACGGGGGCCCGCACAAGCGGCGGAGCAUGCGGAUUAAUUCGAUGCAACGCGAAGAACCUUACCAAGGCUUGACAUGUGCCGGUCUGCUCCGGAGACGGGGUUUCCUCCCUUGUGGGGGCUGGUUCACAGGUGGUGCAUGGUUGUCGUCAGCUCGUGUCGUGAGAUGUUGGGUUNNNNNNCGCAACGAGCGCAACCCUUGUCUCGUGUUGCCAGCACGUUGUGGUGGGGACUCGCGGGAGACUGCCGGGGUCAACUCGGAGGAAGGUGGGGAUGACGUCAAAUCAUCAUGCCCCUUAUGUCUUGGGCUUCACGCAUGCUACAAUGGCCGGUACAGAGGGCUGCGAUACCGUGAGGUGGAGCGAAUCCCUUAAAGCCGGUCUCAGUUCGGAUCGGUGUNU
rnacentral:rRNA from 1 species